rnacentral:rRNA from 1 species
UACGGAGGGUGCAAGCGUUAUCCGGAUUCACUGGGUUUAAAGGGUGCGUAGGCGGGCAGGUAAGUCAGUGGUGAAAUCUCCGGGCUUAACUCGGAAACUGCCGUUGAUACUAUUUGUCUUGAAUAUUGUGGAGGUAAGCGGAAUAUGUCAUGUAGCGGUGAAAUGCUUAGAUAUGACAUAGAACACCAAUUGCGAAGGCAGCUUACUACACAACGAUUGACGCUGAGGCACGAAAGCGUGGGGAUCAAACAGG